UACGGAGGGUGCGAGCGUUGUCCGGAAUCACUGGGCGUAAAGGGCGCGUAGGCGGCCCGUUAAGUGGGUGGUGAAAUCCCGCGGCUCAACUGCGGGGCUGCCGGUCAGACUGGCGAGCUAGAGUACGGUAGGGGCAGAUGGAAUUCCCGGUGUAGCGGUGGAAUGCGUAGAGAUCGGGAAGAAUACCAGUGGCGAAGGCGUUCUGCUGGGCCGUUGCUGACACUGAGGCGCGACAGCGUGGGGAGCAAACAGG
rnacentral:rRNA from 1 species